rnacentral:rRNA from 1 species
GACGAACGCUGGCGGCGCGCCUAACACAUGCAAGUCGAACGGAGCUGAGAGAAGCUUGCUUUUCUUAGCUUAGUGGCGAACGGGUGAGUAACGCGUGAGUAACCUGCCCUGGAGUGGGGGACAACAGUUGGAAACGAAUGCUAAUACCGCAUAAGCCCACGAUCCGGCAUCGGAUUGAGGGAAAAGGAUUUAUUCGCUUCAGGAUGGACUCGCGUCCAAUUAGCUAGUUGGUGAGGUAACGGCCCACCAAGGCGACGAUUGGUAGCCGGACUGAGAGGUUGAACGGCCACAUUGGGACUGAGACACGGCCCAGACUCCUACGGGAGGCAGCAGUGGGGGAUAUUGCACAAUGGGGGAAACCCUGAUGCAGCGACGCCGCGUGGAGGAAGAAGGUUUUCGGAUUGUAAACUCCUGUCGUUAGGGACGAUAAUGACGGUACCUAACAAGAAAGCACCGGCUAACUACGUG